AUCCCCCGAGGACGUGAGACGGGCUAGCCGGUCNUUUUUUCCGAGGGACUACGAGCUCAACGAGGAAACUUAAUCCCUCCGCUCGCACAGCGUUCCGCAUCCGAGAGCACGAGCNCAAUCNCGUGGGCCAACGCAGCCAAUUCGACAUGCGAGGAACACAAGACGCACCACACGGUUCAUCACGUGCCUACGAGAGGCACGAGAAGAAGGCAACGUUCGGCAACAGUAAAGAAUUCCGCUACGAGGGUAUGCAACACAUGAACCCAUCUUCUCCCGACAGUUCAAAAUGCCUACGGGCCGCGACUGAGCGGACGCCGGG
rnacentral:misc_RNA from 1 species